AGUGAACGCUGGCGGCGUGCCUAAUACAUGCAAGUCGAACGAACGAAUAAGAGCUUGCUCUUAUAAGUUAGUGGCGCACGGGUGAGUAAUAUAUAGCUAAUCUGCCUCUUAGUAGAGGAUAACAGUCGGAAACGAUUGCUAAUACUCUAUACUUCUGCUUUACAUAAGUAAAGUAGAGAAAGUUUUUCGCUAAGAGAUGAGGCUAUACUGUAUCAGCUAGUUGGUAAGGUAACGGCUUACCAAGGCUAUGACGCAUAACUGGUCUGAGAGGAUGAUCAGUCACAUUGGAACUGAGACACGGUCCAAACUCCUACGGGAGGCAGAAGUAGGGAAUAUUGCGCAAUGGGGGAAACCCUGACGCAGCAACGCCGCGUGGAGGAUGACACUUUUCGGAGCGUAAACUCCUUUUAUCGGGAAAGAAUAAUGACGGUACCCGAUGAAUAAGCACCGGCUAACUCCGUG
rnacentral:rRNA from 1 species